AGAGAACCUUUCCUAUCCAUCUGCAGCCCUGCUUGGCCCUUGCCUCAGUGAAUUUACCACUAUCAUAAUCACAGUGUGCAGAGUGUGUUAAAUUAAGAACAGAAUCCACAGUACGCAAUGCACAGAAAAGCCUGCCUUCUGCUGCAGAGAACUUGAAACUGUGCCUAAAAUUUAUAGUACCGUAAACAUCUCAGGGCUUCGAGUGAUAAGUAUGGCUGGAUUUCCGUUAACUAUAGAAAUCCAGGCAGGGAGAUCCUCCCAGGGAGUUGCAAGUUCUAAGAUAAACUUCUUGAAGAUUGUUCCCAGAUUUGUGCAUGGGAUACAUGUACAGCAGACAGUUGUAAGGAGGUCCACGGUCAUGGAAAAGAGGAUAUGUUUCUAUAUGCCACCAAGUGGGAAAAAUGGAAGUGAGGGAAAAUAUUUGAUUAAUUAAAAAAUUUUAGUUUGGAUACCUGCUUUCAUAGUAAUUGUUGCUGUGUCAUUAAACAUACAGUUGCUUAGGAAAAGAGAAGGAAAUAGGUGACUUUCUAAUUUUAGAGUUAGGCUGGAACUGAGUGGUUGCUAAAUUCAACUGCCCUGACAAUGUGGGGAUUUCCUGUCCAUUAGCAGCGAUUGCUAUUUGACAUAUGUUUCUGGUGCCCAUUAAUCUGCCCUGUAAUGGGUCAGAGGCAAAAAUGGGGGAUUCAGAGGUACUAGGUGGCUCUCUUAAUUUAAUAGAACUCAAUGCUAAGGACGCCUCCAUUUGUUAAUAAGUAAUCAAGUCAUUGGCUACUUUCUGCUAAACACUAGACUAUGACAGUGACCUUAGACCCUGGGCAUUCUAAACCAGGCUGGCAGGAGGGUGGUGGUGGAGGUGAUGUGAGGUAAGCCUCCUAGAGGAACUAUCAUCCAAACAAUCUGAAAAUUGAAACAUUAUUAAAGGCAGCACUAAGGAUGGUAUGUCAGAUUUGGGGCAGGAGCACUUAAGGCAGAAGGAACAGCAGGUGUCACUGCCUGCAGUUGAGAAAGGGGGUGGAAUUCUCAAGGCCUUAGACCCCAGAGAACAGGACUGGGCAAGAGCUGACAUUCAAGGGAGGAACAGCAUGUACAGAGCCCAAAGUCCCAGGCACUUUCUGUUGGAUACUGAGCAAUAGGAAUUCAGUAAAGGACUUUCAAGAAGAAGUGAUGUGAUCAGAUCCACCUGUGGGAAAGAUGCCUUUAGCUGCUUCAUGGAGAAAUGACUGGAGAGGAGGCCUUCCUUAGUGUUGCAGAGGCAAAGUAAAGAAAAUGCUGCUGCAGUGACCCAGCAAAGAGGUGAUGGCGGAGGAAUCAGGCUGUGACAAGGGAAGAAGAGGCUGGCUCAAGUGUGUCUCGACUGCACAGACUUACACAGUGAGGAACAGCCAGGAAGACGCUGCACUUCGAGAUUUCCAAGGAAGGCAGUGACCUGUCAGUGGUGGAGCGUGCAGAAGUCUGGCUCUUCCUAAAAGUCCCCAAGGCCAACAGGACCAGGACCAAAGUCACCAUCCGCCUCUUCCAGCAGCAGAAGCACCCGCAGGGCAGCUUGGACACAGGGGAAGAGGCCGAGGAAGUGGGCUUAAAGGGGGAGAGGAGUGAACUGUUGCUCUCUGAAAAAGUAGUAGACGCUCGGAAGAGCACCUGGCACGUCUUCCCUGUCUCCAGCAGCAUCCAGCGGUUGCUGGACCAGGGCAAGAGCUCCCUGGACGUUCGGAUUGCCUGUGAGCAGUGCCAGGAGAGUGGCGCCAGCUUGGUUCUCCUGGGCAAGAAGAAGAAGAAAGAAGAGGAGGGGGAAGGGAAAAAGAAGGGCGGAGGUGAAGGUGGGGCAGGAGCAGAUGAGGAAAAGGAGCAGUCGCACAGACCUUUCCUCAUGCUGCAGGCCCGGCAGUCUGAAGACCACCCUCAUCGCCGGCGUCGGCGGGGCUUGGAGUGUGAUGGCAAGGUCAACAUCUGCUGUAAGAAACAGUUCUUUGUCAGUUUCAAGGACAUCGGCUGGAAUGACUGGAUCAUUGCUCCCUCUGGCUAUCAUGCCAACUACUGCGAGGGUGAGUGCCCGAGCCAUAUAGCAGGCACGUCCGGGUCCUCACUGUCCUUCCACUCAACAGUCAUCAACCACUACCGCAUGCGGGGCCAUAGCCCCUUUGCCAACCUCAAAUCGUGCUGUGUGCCCACCAAGCUGAGACCCAUGUCCAUGUUGUACUAUGAUGAUGGUCAAAACAUCAUCAAAAAGGACAUUCAGAACAUGAUCGUGGAGGAGUGUGGGUGCUCGUAGAGUUGCCCAGCCCAGGGGGAAAGGGAGCAAGAGUUGUCCAGAGAAGACAGUGGCAAAUUGAAGAAAUUUUUAAGGUUUCUGAGUUAACCAGAAAAAUAGAAAUUAAAAACAAAAACAAAAAAAACAAAAAA
rnacentral:sRNA from 1 species